rnacentral:rRNA from 1 species
AUGAAGGGGGCGAAGAUACGGGUGAAACAUUACUCACUGGGAGGGGGGUGCGGCUCGCUUGAUCUUGGCGGCGAAGGUGUGGGCGAUUCCUGUGAGAUAGGCGAUGCAGAUGUUGCCUCUGACGCCGAGGGCAGACGAAGAGGGCGUGGGGGUGUCCAACACAAAUCAGUCUUGUUGGACCAGAAGGGUAAGCCAUUGCAGGCCAACAGUUGGUCAACAAGGUGUGGCUGCAAUGCCAUGAUACGACUGCUGAGGUCGGGUGAUGGUGGAUGGUAUGUAUGUGAGCACAGACCAAGCUCGUUCGAUGGAAAUUGCAAUAGUCGACGUGAUGUCGCGGACUGCACAUCGCUGGUGCAAAUGGCACGUACUGAAGAAGGCAAAGGAGAGCCUUGGAGCACUGCUUGCAAAAGGGAGUGA